rnacentral:rRNA from 1 species
ACAAGCGGUGGAGUAGUGUGGUUUAAUUCGAUGCAACGCGAAGAACCUUACCUGGUCUUGACAUCCCGGAGACCCUUAGGAAACUAGGGGGUGCUUCCAUCUGGAAGAAUCUGGAGACAGGUGCUGCAUGGCUGUCGUCAGCUCGUGUCGUGAGAUGUUGGGUUAAGUCCCGCAACGAGCGCAACCCUUGCCUUUAGUUGCCAGCAGUUCGGCUGGGCACUCUAAAGGGACUGCCGGUGUUAAACCGGAGGAAGGUGGGGAUGACGUCAAGUCCUCAUGGCCUUUAUGACCAGGGCUACACACGUACUACAAUGGCCGAUACAAAGGGCAGCGACACUGCGAGGUGAAGCCAAUCCCGUAAAAUCGGUCUCAGUCCGGAUUGGAGUCUGCAACUCGACUCCAUGAAGUUGGAAUCGCUAGUAAUCGUGGAUCAGCAUGCCACGGUGAAUACGUUCCCGGGCCUU